AGCACAGAUGAUAAAAGGGAAAUAUCUACUUGCAUUUCUGACUUAAGUGAACACUGAAUAUUAAGUAGAACAACAAUUUAAGAGUUAAGAAAUGAUGGUUAAGAGGGUUAGCAAUUUAGACUUCUCUGAUUUUAUUUUAUGAAAGGUAAAAUGAUCCUGAAAUAAUUUUUGUUAGUAUCUGAAGGCCACACAGUGUUUGUCUUCUUCUCGACAAUUUCUUUUUUGUUUGGGUCAUGAAACAAAUCAUGGAUUUAUACCACUGCAAACAAUUAUUAUACAUAGUGGAAAUAAUUGUAAUGUGGCUUAUGCAACUAGGAACUUUAGAAAGAGUAAAGUCAUGCUGAUAUAAGAGGAUGUUAAGUAUUUAUUUGAUAGUUCUAUUGAUAGUAUAUAUUCCUUCCAUUUUUAAAUUUUCUUUUUCAUUUGACUAUUGUUUCCAGGCUCUAUCCUGACUUAGGAAAGUUUUUAAUUAAAAUGUUGAUUUUUAUGCUUAACUGGAAGGGGACAUACCAUGAACACAAAGGUGCUUUUUUUCGUGAGGGCUUAUCCAUUGCACUCUGGAUGUGCUGACCCCUGUGAUUUCCCUAAAUACACAAUGGCAAUCAGGAAGAAUACUUUUACCACAAGGUGAUCCAUAGGGGUGUCUCCUGCUAUGCUUCUCCCAAAAUUUUAUAGAGAAUGAACAAGUACAUUAAUCAUGGCCUGAGAAAGUCAUGGUGACUAGGAAUCAGGUCCCCCAGAGAAAAGGGUUUGUGUCGCCUCAUCAUGUAAGUUGCUUAGACUAGCUGAAGUGCUAGCCUAGGCCGAGGCAAAUCUAAAAUGAAUUGCAGAGAAGAACUACGAUUGUUUUCUUUAUACCAGAUGUGGCAGUUGUGGCUAUAAUUUGUUCCACUUUUCUUUAUAUUCAGUUCUCACAAAGGAAGAGAUAAUCCUAGCCCCAAAUGAUUUAUUCCUCUCUUUUUUCUUCUAUUUCUUACCGCCCUCUCUCUUUGUCUUUGUCCCUUUUUCAUUUAAUCAUCU
rnacentral:lncRNA from 13 species